rnacentral:rRNA from 1 species
CCUACGGGAGGCAGCAGUGGGGAAUUUUGGACAAUGGGCGAAAGCCUGAUCCAGCAAUGCCGCGUGUGUGAAGAAGGCCUUCGGGUUGUAAAGCACUUUUGUCCGGAAAGAAAUCCUUGACUCUAAUACAGUCGGGGGAUGACGGUACCGGAAGAAUAAGCACCGGCUAACUACGUGCCAGCAGCCGCGGUAAUACGUAGGGUGCGAGCGUUAAUCGGAAUUACUGGGCGUAAAGCGUGCGCAGGCGGUUUGCUAAGACCGAUGUGAAAUCCCCGGGCUCAACCUGGGAACUGCAUUGGUGACUGGCAGGCUAGAGUAUGGCAGAGGGGGGUAGAAUUCCACGUGUAGCAGUGAAAUGCGUAGAGAUGUGGAGGAAUACCGAUGGCGAAGGCAGCCCCCUGGGCCAAUACUGACGCUCAUGCACGAAAGCGUGGGGAGCAAACAGGAUUAGAUACCCUGGUAGUCCACGCCCUAAACGAUGUCAACUAGUUGUUGGGGAUUCAUUUCCUUAGUAACCGUAGCUAACGCGUGAAGUUGACCGCCUGGGGAAGUACGGUCGCAAGNUUAAAACUCAAAGGAAUUGACCGGNGNGAGAGNGCGAGACGACGACGAGGGAGAGG